rnacentral:rRNA from 1 species
GACGAACGCUGGCGGCGUGCUUAACACAUGCAAGUCGAGCGGUAAGGCCCUUUCGGGGGUACGACGAGCGGCGAACGGGUAGGAGUAACAACGUGGGUGGACCUCGCCCUCCAGCUCUGGGAGUAAGCCUGGGAAACCGGGUACGUAUACUGGAGUAUGACUCCAUGACGCAUGUUGUGGGGUGGGAAAGACCUUGUGCGGCUGAGGA